UUAUAAAAACGAUUUUAACUGUUAACCUAAUGGAACUUAACUGUUGUGGAACUCAGCCAUUUGUUUCUUUCAAUAUGUGGUAUUCAUUAUUCUAAAAUGAUACCUCUACCAGACCAACCAAAAUACAAGGGAAUAGACUUAGAUGGUGAACUACGAAGGCAGAGCUAAUGAGGCUUACAAGUUUUGGGGGAAAAUCACACAGACUAGAAUAUGAAUGUGGUGGUGAUUUGGAUUCCUCUUUGCCGACAAGAGCAACACCUUCCUUAGGGGACACUGGGAGAAGAUAAAAGAUCAAGAUCCCUGGAUGGCAGUGUGGAACAGAACUGGUCACCCAAAUGCUCACCAACACAGACACUUACAAGCAAAAGAAAAAAAAAAACAAUUUUCUGCAAGCAAAAUGAUAA